rnacentral:tRNA from 1 species
GCCUCUGUGGCUCAGUGGUAGAGCAACUGACUUGUAUUCAGUAGGUCGGGGGAUCAAUACCCCCCAGAGGCU